GAAUGUCAACUUGAAGAGCUUCAGUAAUCUGUGGAAAUCAGUAUUCAACGAUACCUCAUCGAAGCAGCACAUAUAUUUACUACGUAAGAGCUGAUUAAUCACGAUGAAUAACAAUACGAACUCUGAUGAACAAUGUAAGAAACUCGAUGCUGAGACAGAGUUUGAAUUGCUGAAAUAUGCCCAGGAGUUGCUCAAAGAACAUCAUCUGGGAAAGGGACUUGGUGGAAGUCACCAUCAUCGACCUCAUCUAUUGCAAAGGAAGGAACUGGCAGGCUUGAAAAGCCUUCGAAGAGGUUGGACCAUAUGGCAAGACGCUGCUAAGAGCGUUUCUUUAAGGUGUUACGGUUAUUAGCCCUUGAUAAUGGCUAUCACACAUCAAAAUUUGCAAGUGACGUGUCUUUUGGAAUCGGAAAUGAUAUCUGAUUGGUUGUAUUUGAAGUUACAAAUCUUAGAUAUUGAUUGGUGAACCAAGAGCUUCUGCUCCUCUUUCUGGAACUUGUUCUUCCUGCUAAUUGUGCGGUUUUAUGAAAGGAUUAACGAGCUGCACAGCAGGCUGUUUCAAUUGUUAAAUUCCAAUCGAUUGAAUUUCAAGUUUCAAGUUUUUCACUACAUAAAAAGGCAAUAAAUACUUAAAGAAAAACCAAACUGUGCCUUGCCAAGUACAUAAAGAUUGUUUGCUUUUAACUUUUAUACAAAAAAUCGAAUAAAAAUUGUAAUUUAUAAAGUAAA